rnacentral:lncRNA from 1 species
AUGGUUUCAAUAUUUUUAUGAUCAUUUUAUUUUUUGGUUACUCUUUCUUUAUUCGUUUCAUCUUUCAGAUGAAAUGUAAGGACUGAGAUUUUUGCAGUGUAGGUAAACUCUUAGUUGACGAUAUUUUUGUGUGUAAUUUAAUUACAAAAGCACUCGUCAAGUUUCGGGCGAAAACGAGUUAAAACGGAAAUUCUACGGGAUUUCUAAGUUUCACUUAAAGUGAAUAGUAACUCGAUUUUCCGGAGAAGCCGCGGUGAGAAGUUGGCUUCUGGCUCGUACCGGACUCUGUUCAUAGCAGUCCAAUAGCUCGUUUCGACCGGUUCAGCUAUUCUGGAACUAAUGGCGCUGACGGAUUUUGAGUUUGACGCACGGAUUUCGAGAAAAUCCAAAAAUACAUGUUUUAUAUGUAUUUUUGUGUGUGUUUCCUUCUAUUCGAAGAAGGUUGGAUUUUGUCGUGAAUCCGUGGUCGAUCAAGACGAAACGAAAUCGUAGCUUUGUUGUCUCCGUCGUGCUGAUCGCACUGG